GACGAACGCUGGCGGCGUGCUUAACACAUGCAAGUCGAACGGAAAGGCCCUGCUUGCAGGGUACUCGCGUGGCGCACGGGUGAGUAACACGUGGGUGAUCUGCCCUGCACUUCGGGGUAAGCUUGGGAAACUGGGUCUAAUACCGGAUAGGAACCAUCUUUAGUGUGGUGGUUGGAAAGUUUUUUCGGUGUAGGAUGAGCUCGCGGCCUAUCAGCUUGUUGGUGGGGUAAUGGCCUACCAAGGCGGCGACGGGUAGCCGGCCCGAGAGGGUGUGCGGCCACAUUUGGGCUGAGAGACGGCCCAGAGUCCUACGGGGGGCAGAAGUGGGGAAUAUUGUGCACUGGGCGCAAGCCUGAUGCAGCGACGCCGCGUGGGGGAUGAAGGCCUUCGGGUUGUAAACUCCUUUCGCUAGGGACGAAGCGUUGUUGUGACGGUACCUAGAUAAGAAGCACCGGCUAACUACGUG
rnacentral:rRNA from 1 species